rnacentral:rRNA from 1 species
UACGUAGGGUGCAAGCGUUGUCCGGAAUUAUUGGGCGUAAAGAGCUCGUAGGCGGUCUGUCGCGUCGGCUGUGAAAUCCCGAGGCUCAACCUCGGGUCUGCAGUCGAUACGGGCAAACUAGAGUAUUGCAGGGGAGACUGGAAUUCCUGGUGUAGCGGUGAAAUGCGCAGAUAUCAGGAGGAACACCGGUGGCGAAGGCGGGUCUCUGGGCCGAUACUGACGCUGAGGAGCGAAAGCCAGGGGAGGCAAACGGG